GGGGCUGACUAGCUUCGACAUGAGGACCUUAAAAUAUAUUUGCAAGCCGGUUUGGAAUACACGUUAGCUGUUCCAACACCUUAAGUGAAAAUACACUUAUUAGUAAGUUAAGAAGCGCGUUUACGUUGCCUACACUUGCACCAGCAUACGCUUAAUUGAGUAUGCCGUCUCACUUUUUGAUACCAGGUAGAAAAGUAGGCGCCAAUUAUCUGGUUGCUACAUAGUUGUUUGUAAGCCGACUACGUUUAAGACUACAGUUUACUGAAGCGAUCUAUCUGUUUGUUGGUUAGUAGGAUAGGUAGCUUUUAAAACAAAUUCAGAUCAACUACGCUUGUAGACGAUAUAUUUAAAGCCUUGUGGACGAGGGUGCGAUUCCCUCCAGCUCCACCA
rnacentral:tmRNA from 1 species